rnacentral:rRNA from 1 species
GUUUGAUGUUCUAACGUGGACCCGUAAUCCGGGUUGCGGACAGUGUCUGGUGGGUAGUUUGACUGGGGCGGUCUCCUCCUAAAGAGUAACGGAGGAGCACGAAGGUUGGCUAAUCCUGGUCGGACAUCAGGAGGUUAGUGCAAUGGCAUAAGCCAGCUUGACUGCGAGCGUGACGGCGCGAGCAGGUGCGAAAGCAGGUCAUAGUGAUCCGGUGGUUCUGAAUGGAAGGGCCAUCGCUCAACGGAUAAAAGGUACUCCGGGGAUAACAGGCUGAUACCGCCCAAGAGUUCAUAUCGACGGCGGUGUUUGGCACCUCGAUGUCGGCUCAUCACAUCCUGGGGCUGAAGUAGGUCCCAAGGGUAUGGCUGUUCGCCAUUUAAAGUGGUACGCGAGCUGGGUUUAGAACGUCGUGAGACAGUUCGGUCCCUAUCUGCCGUGGGCGCUGGAGAACUGAGGGGGGCUGCUCCUAGUACGAGAGGACCGGAGUGGACGCAUCACUGGUGUUCGGGUUGUCAUGCCAAUGGCACUGCCCGGUAGCUAAAUGCGGAAGAGAUAAGUGCUGAAAGCAUCUAAGCACGAAACUUGCCCCGAGAUGAGUUCUCCCUGACUCCUUGAG